rnacentral:rRNA from 1 species
GACAGAGGCCUCAAGCGUUAGGCGGAAUCACUGGGCUUAAAGCGUGUGUAGGCGGAUCGUUAAGUGUCUUGUGAAAUCCCACGGCUCACCCGUGGAACUGCUGGGCAUACUGGCGAUCUUGGGCCAACUAGGGGCAACUGGAACACGCGGCGGAGCGGUGAAAUGCGUAGAUAUCGCUUGGAACGCCAAAGGUGAAAACAGGUUGCUGGGGUUGUGCCGACGCUGAGACGCGAAAGCCAGGGGAGCAAACGGG